UCUAUUGAGGAUUUGAUCCUGGUCCAGGAUGAACGCUGGCGACGUGGAUAGGGCAUGCAAGUCGAACGGAUUUAUUUGCGAUUACAUCAAGAAUAAAUUAGUGGCGAACGAGUUCAGUAAUACCUUGGAAUGUACCCCGAAGACGGGAAUAACUCCGCGAAAGCGGAGCUAAUACCCGAUAAUCUCGCAAGAGCAAAGUCGUAAGACACUUCGGGAGCAGCCUUGGUCCUAUCAGCUAGUUGGUGAGGUAAUGGCCCACCAAGGCUAUGACGGGUAGGGGGUGUGAGAGCAUGACCCCCAACGAUGGAACUGAGACACGGUCCAUACACCUACGGGUGGCUGCAGUCGAGAAUAUUCGACAAUGGGCGAAAGCCUGAUCGAGCGACGUCGCGUGCAGGAAGAAGGCCUUAGGGUUGUAAACUGCUUUUGCGGGGGAGGAACGAAAGUGACUGUACCCCGAGAAUAAGGCGCUGCAAACUUCGUGCCAGCAGCCGCGGUAAUACGAAGGCGUCAAGCGUUAUCCGGAUUUAUUGGGCGUAAAGGGUCUUCAGGUGGUUUUGUUAGUCUGAUGUUAAAUCCCAGCGCCUAACGCUGGAACCGCAUCAGAAACGGCAAAACUCGAGGUGCGGAGAGGUAAGCGGAACUCACGGUGUAGCGGUGAAAUGCGUUGAUAUCGUGGGGAACACCAAAGGCGAAGGCAGCUUACUGGCCGUAUCCUGACACUCAUAAGACGAAAGCGUGGGGAGCAAAUGGGAUUAGAUACCCCAGUAGUCCACGCCCUAAACGAUGCAGACUCGUCAUUGGAAGUAUCGACCCUUUCAGUGGCCUAGCUUACGCGUUAAGUCUGCCGCCUGGGAAGUACGGCCGCAAGGCUAAAACUCAAAGGAAUAGACGGGAGUUCGCACAAGCGGUGGAGCAUGUGGUUCAAUUCGAUGACAACCGAAGAACCUCACCAGGGUUUGAAAUGCUGGAAAAAACCGCCGGAAACGGUGGUGUACCACAAGGAUGCCAGCACAGGUGCUGCACGGUCCUCGUCAGUUCGUGGCUUGAGCUGUUCCCUUAAGUGGGGCAACGAACGCAACCCUUAUUGUAUGUUACAAGUGUCAUACGAAACUGCCUCCGAUUAGGGGGAGGAAGGCGGGGAUGACGCGAGAUCAGCGUGGCCCUUUGAUACCCUGGGCCACACACGUGCUACAAUGGAGCCGACAAUGCGUUGCGAAACCGAAAGGUGGAGCCAAUCGCACCAAACGGCCCCCCAGUUCAGAUUGAGGUCUGCAACUCGACCUCAUGAAGUUGGAAUCGCUAGUAAUCGCGGGUCAGCUAUACCGCGGUGAAUACGUUCUCGAACUUUGUACUCACCGCCCGUCACGUCAAGGGAGCCGGGAGUAGUCGAAGCUCACGAUUUCGUGAUCUACGCUAAGCUCGGUGACAGGGACGAAGUCGUAACAAGGCAUCCGUAGCGGAAGCUGUGGAUGGAACAAUUCUUUU
rnacentral:rRNA from 1 species